rnacentral:rRNA from 1 species
UACGUAGGGUGCAAGCGUUGUCCGGAAUUACUGGGCGUAAAGAGCUCGUAGGCGGUUUGCUAAGUCAGGGGUGAAAUCCUGGAGCUCAACUCCAGAACUGCCUUUGAUACUGGCGAUCUUGAGUCCGGGAGAGGUGAGUGGAACUGCGAGUGUAGAGGUGAAAUUCGUAGAUAUUCGCAAGAACACCAGUGGCGAAGGCGGCUCACUGGCCCGGUACUGACGCUGAGGUGCGAAAGCGUGGGAGCA